AGGAGCGAUCCGGCUGCGGAUGGUCAUGCGGCGCAUUAGCUUGUUGGCGGGGUAACGGCCCACCAAGGCGACGAUGCGUAGGGGUUCUGAGAGGAAGGUCCCCCACACUGGUACUGAGACACGGACCAGACUCCUACGGGAGGCAGCAGUGAGGAAUAUUGGUCAAUGGCCGGGAGGCUGAACCAGCCAAGUCGCGUGAGGGAAGACGGCCCUACGGGUUGUAAACCUCUUUUGCCGGGGAGCAAAUGGCGGGACGCGUCCCGCGUCGAGAGUACCCGGAGAAAAAGCAUCGGCUAACUCCGUGCCAGCAGCCGCGGUAAUACGGAGGAUGCGAGCGUUAUCCGGAUUUAUUGGGUUUAAAGGGUGCGCAGGCGGGAUGUCAAGUCAGCGGUAAAAUCGGGAGGCUCAACCUCUCUCAGCCGUUGAAACUGGCGUUCUUGAGUGGGCGAGAAGUAUGCGGAAUGCGUGGUGUAGCGGUGAAAUGCAUAGAUAUCACGCAGAACCCCGAUUGCGAAGGCAGCAUACCGGCGCCCGACUGACGCUCAUGCACGAAAGCGUGGGUAUCGAACAGGAUUAGAUACCCUGGUAGUCCACGCAGUAAACGAU
rnacentral:rRNA from 1 species